rnacentral:rRNA from 1 species
GACGAACGCUGGCGGCGUGCUUAACACAUGCAAGUCGAACGGAAAGACCCUGCUUUUGUGGGGUGCUCGAGUGGCGAACGGGUGAGUAACACGUGAGUAACCUGCCCUUGACUUUGGGAUAACUUCAGGAAACUGGGGCUAAUACCGGAUAGGAGCUCCUGCUGCAUGGUGGGGGUUGGAAAGUUUCGGCGGUUGGGGAUGGACUCGCGGCUUAUCAGCUUGUUGGUGGGGUAGUGGCUUACCAAGGCUUUGACGGGUAGCCGGCCUGAGAGGGUGACCGGCCACAUUGGGACUGAGAUACGGCCCAGACUCCUACGGGAGGCAGCAGUGGGGAAUAUUGCACAAUGGGCGGAAGCCUGAUGCAGCAACGCCGCGUGCGGGAUGACGGCCUUCGGGUUGUAAACCGCUUUCGCCUGUGACGAAGCGUGAGUGACGGUAAUGGGUAAAGAAGCACCGGCUACUACGUG